GGUUAUUAAUAGGCUGACUGGGUAAUUUGCCUUCUUCCCUCCUACUGAAAGCUUGUUGCUAGCUGACCUAUCUGGGUCUCUAGCUUUGCUAUUGAUUGCGUAUGGGAGUGAAGGAGUUAGGUAUUCAUUUCUAGUCCUUUAAGUGCUUGCAGUACCUUUUCUUCGAAAGCCGAGCUAUGAGUACUCGGAGUGGGUUGAGGAGGGUUCUGGUAUUGUAGCUGGGAU
rnacentral:lncRNA from 1 species